rnacentral:rRNA from 1 species
GAUGAACGCUAGCGGCAGGCUUAACACAUGCAAGUCGAGGGGUAGAAGUCUUCGGACUUUGAGACCGGCGCACGGGUGCGUAACGCGUAUGCAAUCUGCCUUGUACAAAGGGAUAGCCCAGAGAAAUUUGGAUUAAUACCUUAUAGUAUAUAGAUGUGGCAUCACAAUUAUAUUAAAGAUUUAUCGGUACAAGAUGAGCAUGCGUCCCAUUAGCUAGUUGGUAUGGUAACGGCAUACCAAGGCAAUGAUGGGUAGGGGUCCUGAGAGGGAGAUCCCCCACACUGGUACUGAGACACGGACCAGACUCCUACGGGAGGCAGCAGUGAGGAAUAUUGGUCAAUGGGCGCAAGCCUGAACCAGCCAUGCCGCGUGCAGGAUGAAGCAUCUAUGGUGUGUAAACUGCUUUUGUACGGGAAGAAACACCUCUUCGUGAAGAGGCUUGACGGUACCGUAAGAAUAAGGAUCGGCUAACUCCGUGCCAGCCGCCGCCGUAA